rnacentral:tRNA from 1 species
GCCGGGGUGCCCGAGCGGACUAAGGGGUCGGACACUCCUAAUUGGGAGCCGGACUUGAGAUCCGAUGCCUCUCUGGGGCGCGUGGGUUCGAAUCCCACCCCCGGCG